GGCACAAUUUUGAGUGUCUUAGAUGUUCUGUCAUGGUGAGUGAUGGUGCCCCCUUGUGGUAAGAGCUCCCUUUGCUCUUGGGGGUUUACCUUUAAAAUUUGAGACUUCUCAUUCCACAAAGGUUUUUCAAAGCCUAUUAUGUAUCAGGCCCAGGAACAUAUCCAGGAAACAGGAACUUCCCAGCAAACAAACCUGAAAUUGUAGGCAGAAAUGAGGGUUUGGAGGGAGUUUUAUUAAAUCAGUGAAUGAUCUCUACAACUUGGUGUGACCGAGGAUUUUCCUGUCUUUUGGUUUAUGUUCAAUUUUGGGGCAGCCCCUCACAUGGCUCUUGGGUACUGCCUGUACUGUAUAGGUGGCCUGGGUCCCUGCUUGCCACAUGUGACUGGUAAUAAUAAUA
rnacentral:lncRNA from 1 species